GAGGCGCUCGAGGAAGGGCGAGUUCUCGACGGCCUUGCGGCUCUCGCCGGUGAUGUAGUAGAUGUCCUUCUGGCCCUCCUUCAUCCGGGUGACGUAGUCCUUGAGGCUGGUGAGGUCGUCGCCGCUCUUGGUGGAGUGGUAGCGGAGGAGGUCGGCGAGCUUGGCGCGGUUCUGCGAGUCCUCGUGCACGCCCAGCUUGAGGUUCUUGGAGAAGGCCUCGUAGAACUUGGCGUAGUCCUCUUUAUUCUCGGCGAUCUCGAAGAAGAGCUCGAUGCACUUCUUGACGAGGUUCUUGCGGAUGACCUUGAGGAUCUUGUUCUGCUGCAGCGUCUCCCGGGAGAUGUUGAGGGGGAGGUCGUCCGAGUCGACGACGCCCUUGACGAAGCCCAGCCACUCCGGGAUGAGCUCCUCGCAGUUGUCCAUGAUGAAGACGCGGCGCACGUAGAGCUUGAUGUUGUUCAUCUUCUUGCGGGUGUCGAAGAGGUCGAAGGGCGCGCGGCGGGGCACGAAGAGCACCGCCUUGAACUCCAGCUGCCCCUCCACCGAGAAGUGCUUCACGGCCAGGUGAUCCUCCCAGUCGUUGGUGAUGCUCUUGUAGAAGGACGCGUACUCCUCCUUGCUGAUCUCCUCCGGCUUGCGCAGCCAGAUGGGCUUCUGCUUGUUGAUCUGCGCCCACUCGUGGCUCACCUCCUUCACCUUCUUCUUCUUCUUCUUGCUCUCGUCCUUGUUCUCGGAGUCGUCGUCGACCUCCUCCACCUCGCCCUCCUUCUUCUCAUCCGACUCUUCAUCUUCGUCGUCGCUGAUCUCCUUCUCGGUGGUCUUCUCGGUCCAGAGGUAGAUGGGGUAGCUGAUGAACUCCGAGUGCUUCUUGACGAGGUCCUUGAGGCGGCGCUCCUCCAGGUACUCGAGCUGGUCGUCCUUGAGGAAGAGCGUGAUCUUGGUGCCGCGCCCGAGCCGCUCGCCCUCCGUGUCGAGGGUGACGGUGAAGGAGCCGCCGGCCUGCGACUCCCACACGUACUGCUCGUCGUCGUUGUGCUUGGUGGUGACCACCACCUUGUCGGCGACGAG
rnacentral:lncRNA from 1 species